CCUACGGGUGGCAGCAGUGAGGAAUAUUUGUCAAUGGACGCAAGUCUGAACCAGCCAUGCCGCGUGCAGGAAGACGGCUCUAUGAGUUGUAAACUGCUUUUGUACGAGGGUAAACGCAGAUACGCGUAUCUGUCUGAAAGUAUCGUACGAAUACGGAUCGGCUAACUCCGUGCCAGCAGCCGCGGGAAUACGGAGGAUUCAAGCGUUAUCCGGAUUUAUUGGGUUUAAAGGGUGCGUAGGCGGUCGGAUAAGUUAGAGGUGAAAUCCCGAGGCUCAACUUCGGAAGUGCCUCUGAUACUGUUCGGCUAGAGAGUAGUUGCGGUAGGCGGAAUGUAUGGUGUAGCGGUGAAAUGCUUAGAGAUCAUACAGAACACCGAUUGCGAAGGCAGCUUACCAAGCUACUACUGACGUUGAGGCACGAAAGCGUGGGGAGCGAACAGGAUUAGAUACCCCAGUAGUC
rnacentral:rRNA from 1 species